rnacentral:misc_RNA from 1 species
AAGUCGUAACAAGGUAACCGUAGGUGAACCUGCGGUUGGAUCAUUACUGAAAGGCGAUCGUUCGUUCCUACGUUCGUUCCCACCCUUUGUGAACCGUAGUUGUCCCUGGCGGCGGGGUGCGAGUGGACUCGGGCGCCGAGAGGUACCCUCUCGGCGUGUGGCGUCCCCGGACCCGUCAGCUUGUUGGGUCGUCGUCCCUCUUUGGGCGUGGCCCACUUGCCGUGGACAAACCGCCAAAUGUGUCCUCAACCUGCCAUCUCAACUUUGCCGUCUCAUUGUACACUUGGUAUCACAAUACCUAAACAACUUUUGGCAACGGAUCUCUUGGCUCUC